CCGAGUUUAGGCCCUCACGGGUCGAAUCUCCCACCCUUUGUAUACUAUACUAUCGUUGCUUUGGCGGGCCUGCUUAGGCUAUCGGCUUCGGUCGGUUCGUGCCCGCCAGGGAAAAACAUAACCUUUUUAUUUGAAGUUUGUCUGAAAAAAACAUAAUAUUA
rnacentral:misc_RNA from 1 species